rnacentral:tRNA from 1 species
ACUUGAAUAGCUUAUAAUAUAAGAGCGUGACACUGAAGAUGUCGAGGAGGUAUUUUAUGCCUUUAAGUG